AGAGUUUGAUCCUGGCUCAGAACGAAUUCUGGUAGCGUGGAUUAGGUAUGCAAGUCGAACGGGAUCCGGCCGGUAGCAAUAUUGGCUGGUGAGAGUGGCGGAUUGGGGAGGAACACGUGAGCAACCUGCCCUUGAGUUCGGGAAAACCGUUGGAAACGGCGGCUAAUACCGGAUGUGGCGCCCCGUGACAUCACGGGAGCGCUAAAGGGGACAAAAGCUCCCGCUCAUCGAGGGGCUCGCGCAUCAUCAGCUUGUUGGCGGGGUAACGGCCCACCAAGGCAUACGAUUAGCUGGUCUGAGAGGAUGACCAGCCCCACUGGGACUGAGAUACUGCCCAGACUCCUACGGGAGGCUGCAGUCGAGGAUCAUUUGCAAUGGGCGAAAGCCUGACAAUGCGACGCUGCGUGGAGGAUGAAGGCCUUCGGGUUGUAAACUCCUGUCAUAGGGGAACAGGCGAACGGACCCAAUACGUCCGCGAGUUGAGUGUACCCUAAGAGGAAUUGGCGGCUAACUCUGUGCCAGCAGCCGCGGUAAUACAGAGGCCAAGAGCGUUGUUCGGAUUUACUGGGCGUAAAGGGCGCGUAGGCGGCGCCGUGUGUCGGAUGUGAAAUCUCCGGGCUCAACCCGGAAAGUGCGUCCGAAACUGCGGUGCUCGAGUCCGGGAGAGGGAAUCGGAAUAUAGGGUGUAGCGGUGAAAUGCGUUGAUAUCCUAUAGAACACCGGAGGCGAAGGCGGAUUCCUGGAACGGUACUGACGCUGAGGCGCGAAAGUCGGGGGAGCAAACAGGAUUAGAUACCCUGGUAGUCCCGACCUUAAACGGUGCACACUCGGGGUGGGGCCCUUCACCGGUCCCGUCUCUUAGCUAACGCGAUAAGUGUGCCGCCUGGGGAGUACGGCCGCAAGGCUAAAACUCAAAGAAAUUGACGGGGGCCCGCACAAGCAGAGGAGCAUGUGGCUUAAUUCGAUGCAACGCGAAGAACCUUACCUGGAUUUGACAUCGUGGGCAAUGCAUUAUGAAAGUAGUGCGGAGGUUAUCCCAUAGACAGGUGCUGCAUGGCUGUCGUCAGUUCGUGCCGUGAGGUGUUUGGUUAAGUCCACCAACGAACGCAACCCCUAUCGGAUGUUGCCAUCAGGUAACGCUGGGAACUCGUCCGUGACUGCUCGUUUACGCGAGAGGAAGGUGGGGAUGACGUCAAGUCAGUAUGGCCCUUACAUCCAGGGCUGCACACGUGCUACAAUGGCCGGUACAGAGGGAAGCGAAACCGCAAGGCGGAGCCAAUCCCAGAGAGCCGGCCUCAGUUCAGAUCGGGGUCUGCAACCCGACCCCAUGAAGUUGGAUUUGCUAGUAGCGGCGCAUCAGCUACGACGCCGUGAAUGCGUUCCCGGACCUUGCACUCACCGCCGGUCA
rnacentral:rRNA from 1 species